rnacentral:rRNA from 1 species
CCUUCGGGGACACCGGCGGACGGCUCAGUAACACGUCGGUAACCUACCCUCGGGAGGGGGAUAACCCCGGGAAACUGGGGCUAAUCCCCCAUAGGCCUGGGGUACUGGAAGGUCCCCAGGCCGAAAGGGGCUCUGCCCGCCCGAGGAUGGGCCGGCGGCCGAUUAGGUAGUUGGUGGGGUAACGGCCCACCAAGCCGAAGAUCGGUACGGGCCAUGAGAGUGGGAGCCCGGAGAUGGACACUGAGACACGGGUCCAGGCCCUACGGGGCGCAGCAGGCGCGAAACCUCCGCAAUGCGGGCAACCGCGACGGGGGGACCCCCAGUGCCGUGGCAAAGCCACGGCUUUUCCGGAGUGUAAAAAGCUCCGGGAAUAAGGGCUGGGCAAGGCCGGUGGCAGCCGCCGCGGUAAUACCGGCGGCCCAAGUGGUGGCCGCUAUUAUUGGGCCUAAAGC